CAACUUUAAAAUCUUUCAGAUAUUUCUAAGUAACAUCCCUAAUAAACUUGGCAUUGGUCCAAAGUCGUGCAGCAUUAAAGCCUAUCAUGUCCCUCUCUUCCAUCUUUAAAAUCUUUCAGAUAUUUCAAGAAAACAUCCCUAAUAAACUUGAUAUUGAUCCAAAGUCGUGUAACAUUAAAGCCUAUCAUGUCCCUCUCUCCCAUCUUUAGAAUCUUCCAAAUAUUUCAAGAACAUAUCCCUAAUAAACUUGAUAUGAUCCAAAGUCGUGAAACACCAAAGUCUAUCAUGUCCAUCUCUUCCAUCUUUAAAAUCUUUCAAAUAUUUCAAGGAAACAUCCCUAAUAAUCUUGACAAUGAUCCAAAGUCGUGUAGCAUUCAUACCCCUCUCCCAUCUUUAAAAUCUUCCAAAUAUUUCAAGAAAACAUCCCUAAUAAAUUUGAUAGUGAUCCAAAGUCGUGCAACACUAAAGUCUAUUAUGUCUCUCUCUUCCAUCUCUAAAAUCUUCCAGAUAUUUCGAGGAAACAUCCCCAUAAUCUUGGCAAUGAUUCAAAGUCGUGUAGCAUUCAUGUCCCUCUCUCCCAUCUUUAAAAUAUUUCAAAUAUUUCAAGGAAACAUCCCCAAUAUACUUGGUAGUGAUCCAAAGUCACGUAGCAUCAAAGCCUAUCAUGUCCCUGUCUCCCAUUUUUAAAAUCUUCAAGACAUUUCAAGGAAAUAUUCCUAAUAAACUUGGCAAUGAUCUAAAGCCGUGUAGCAUUAAAACCAAUCAUGUCCCUCUCUCCCAUCUUUAAAAUCUUCAAGAUAUUUCAAGGAAACAUCCUUAAUAAACUCGGGAAUGAUCCAAAGUCGUGCAGCAUUAAAGUUUACCAUGUCCCUCUAUCCCAUCUUUUAAAUCUUCCACAUAUUUCAAGGAAACAUCCCUAAUAUAGUUGGUAGUGAUCCAAAGUCAUGUAGCAUUAAAGCCUAUCCGUCCCUCUCUCCCAUCUUUAAAAUCUUCCAAAUACUUCAAGAAAACAUCCCUAAUAUUCUUGACAGUGAUCCAAAGUCGUGUAGCAUUAAAGCCUAUCAUGUCCCUCUCUCCCAUCUUUAAAAUAUUCAAUAUAUUUCAAGGAAAUAUCUCUAAUAAACUUGGCAAUGAUCCAAAGUUGUGUGGCAUUAAAGUGUAUCAUGUCCCUCUAUUCCAUCUUUAAAAUCUUCAAGAUAUUUCAAGAAAACAUCCCUAAUAUACUUGGCAGUGAUCCAAAGUCGUUUAGCAUUAAAGCCUGUUGAAAUAAAAGUUUAUUUGAUUUUGAUGAUUAAGCUAAGUCAAGUUUAAACACUGAUUAAAAUCGUAUUAAGGAAGAAAAAAUAAACAAACACAUGCUAAACUUAUAUUAGUCACAAACAAAUUUAUUUUAAGAAGAAAAGGACUACAAAGAUUGAUAAAACAACUUAGAAUUCCAAGAACUAAAGUCAACUGGUUUACAUUCGUAAAAGAAACAACAGUGGUAUUGAAAGUAAAGCUAAUCAUGUUUAAAGUGAGAAUUGAAACUCUCUACAAAUCAUAUUCAAUGCUAUCAUUCACGCAAAAAUGGUAGAAAAGCUAAAUAAAAGAUUGAACUCAAAUUGAAUAGUUAACCGCCCAAAUUGAUAAAAAGACAAAGCAUAAACUGCUAUUGUCACAAGUUCAAUCUACCGAAUUAAUUGACCAAAACUUAAGAGUUUCAACCAAAGUCUGAAGGUUCAAAAUAAUUGCCCAAGUUGCUCACUCAAAAUAUAGUUCAGACAACACCAAAGUUCACAUUAGGUCGACCAAAGUUAAAGAAGGUACAACGAGAAAGUGAAAUAGAGGACAUGCGUGCUCACUAGAAAAACAGGUUUACUACGACCAAAUUUUAUAUUCGGUCGAUUGAAGUUAAGAAAAUCACAGCUGAAUUUAAAACAGAGCAACUAAGUGCUCUCUAGAAUUGAAGAACAACGUCUAUCAAACUUGACAUUCGGUUGACCGAAAGGAAAAAGCCCUCGACCGAAGUUAUAAAUCACUUAGUAGACAGAAUGAACAAGCCAUUAGAAUUUCAUUACAACCACGAUCGAAGUUCAAGGUCGGUUGGCCGAAGGUGUCGAUUGAAGUUCGAAAAGUUGAUCCUGAUUGUCCAAAUAAAGAUUUAACGGCUGAGAUUCAAUCAGAAUGACUAGAUCAGAAGUAUCAAAUUCUGUAACGACUCUAAUAUACUUUUGGCUUAUAAAUACAAUUUUGGGGGUUGUUGGUAAUAUAUUGAAGUGCCAUAUAUUUUUAAAAUCACUUGUAUUCAAUACUUCAAUCCCUUUAUCAUUUACUUAUGAGUUUUGAUUUGUGAGAGUUAGAUCACUCUAGACAAAAAGAAAGUUUCAUUAUAAUUAUCCUUGUUCUAGAAUUGGUUAGAUAAGAGUUACUUUAACUACCACAGCUUGUUGGAAAAAUCAAUAUAAGUUCUAGUGUUUGUAAAGGUUGUGAAGAUCAAUAUAGUUCCCAAGAGAUGGAGUCUCUUGAACACUAGAAGAGUUCUAGUGUUUGUAAAGGUUGUGAAGUACCCGCAAACUUGAAGAUAAUAAAUUUUCAAGGAGAAUCUUAAAGAGUAGACGUAAAUCGAGAUUUGUCAGACCACUAUAAAUCUACGUUCCAAUCGAGUUUUAAAAAACAAUUAUAACUAAACAACGUAUAUUGCAAAUAACUAAACAUCUUCUAUUGUAGAGCACAACUUAUGUAAAACCUUGAUAAUUCAAACAUAAAAAUAAGCUUUUUAAGAUGUUCUUGACCCACAAAUAAAAAGCAAAAUUUGUGACGAGCUUUCUAAAACAUGAAAAAGCGAAAACUGCAACCACCAAAAUUGUGGGCAAUACUCCGAGGAUUCUUAGGGCAAGUAUUUGACGCUGACCUGGAACACAUGUCUCGCUCUUUGAUUAAAGCAUAUGCUCAAAUCACAUUUUUAAAGAUAAAAUCACGCUUAUUUUCAUUAUUUUACGAAUAAAAAGUUUUAAUACAUCAUUACUGCACUGUCAACACAAUUGUGAUUGGAGAGGGAAAUUUCAUUGUUUUCACCAAGUCCAAGUCUACUACUGUUGAGUUGUAAACAAAUCCAUAGUAUCAAGACCAAACCCCCCCAGUUCCCAAAUCAAAACACUUGGCCUUGAAAUAUGUUAAAUCAACAAAUUUUUUUCCAUGCAAAGUAAGUAGUGCGGUUUUGUGGAGGUUGCUGGUGAAUGAGUUAAAGGGUAUUUUUUUUAACGACCUAGUUCCUUUAAAGUUGGAAUUUGGAUUGCUCCAGUGCAAUUCAAAUUUUUUGAGUUCACUUUUGGGCUAAGUUUGAUCAUUCAAAAUGUUUAUAUUGUAAACUCUAAUGUCAAGAUCAGUAUUACAAAAAGAUCGCGUUGAUCGAACACAAUCUAGAAUCCGUUUAUUACUGUCUCAUAUUCGAAACUUCUGAAGUGUCAUCAAUUUUUAAUUUGGGUUUAAAUCCAUUGUUAAUGGACAGUGAGAUUAAUUCUUUAAAUUAGUGGGUCCUUGAGACAGAUACCGAAUUAUUAAAAAUAGUAUAUUUGUGGAAACUAUUAGUACAAUUAAUUUAUUAGGAACGAAAGAGAUUAGGAGCUUUUAGUCCCUGCUCUUUUACUCCUACUAUCCAUUGCCUUCAAAACAAAUGAAUGUGUGUAUGUUUUUAUCACUUCAAUCCAUUCCUAACAACCCCAAGGGUUAAUUUUAAAAGUUCCAAAUUGGAUAGAGACGUUGCAUCAUUAAUUGCACUAAAAAGAACCGUUCUGAUUUGAUUUCAGUCAUUGGAUCUGAGAUUUUGAUAUGCUAGAGUGAAAUUUAAAAGUUCGGUCGUGUACUUUCUAAACUUCGGUCGACCGAACUUUAACUUCAGUCAUGUUUGAACUGAAUCUCUAGUUGCUAAGUUAAUUGCUCUAUUUUACUUUCCUGAACUUCGAUCGUCCCUAAUUUGGACUUUAGACUUCGGUCAACUAAAUUUUAAGUUCGGUCGUUUUUGUACUGCAUUUUCAGGGGUUUGCUUAGAUACUCUGCUUCAUCUUUUGAAUUUGGCUUCUACCUUAAAGAUUCGGCUGUGCUCUGAACUUUGGUCGUGUACUUCUGAAUGUUCGGUCGACCAUUAAGUUGGAUUGUCAUUAGCUUGUUUUUCCAGAGAGCUUUUACUUACAUUAUUAAUUUGAGAGUUCCUAGCAUUCGGCUGUGCUUUGGGACUUCAGUUCUUGAACUUUGGUCGAUCCUUCUUGGACUUCGGUCGCCUCUGAACUGAGUUUCCUGAGAGCAUACUCUGUUCUUAACAAUAAUCUUUGUUUUGCUUGUGUUAGCAUUCGACGUUUCAAAACUCUUUUUAGAUCUACCCAAGUCUAUUUCUAAGACCACCCUUUAUUUUUUCUUUUUAUCGAUGAUUUUCAAACGCAACUUAGUUUUAAUCCUUUUGUAAUCAUCAAAAUUAAUUACUUUAUUUUAAUAAAUAUAAUUUAUUUUGUAAAAGAAAAGUGUAAUUUUUUUGAUGGUGUCAAUUGACCCCACGACCAUUGUGACAUAUACCCCGAGGAUUCUUACGGUAAGUAUUUUAGGUUGACGGAACACAUGUCUCAGUCUUUGAGUAAAGCAUACGCUCAAAAUCACAAUUUUUAAAGAUAAUUCACACUAUUUUUCAUUAUUUCACCAAUAAAAUAGUAUCAAUACAUCACUACUGUCAGCACUAUUGUGGUUGGAGAGAGAAAUUUGAUUAUUUUAUCAAGUCCAAGUCCAAGUCCAAGUCCAAGGCCAAGUCCUGCUGAGUUGUAAACAAAUACAUAGUGGCUCAAGACCAAACCCCACAGUUUCCAAAUCAAAACACUUUGGCUUUGAAAUAUGUUAAAUCAACAAUUUUUUUCCACGCAAAAUAGUUACUGUGGUUUUGUGGAGGUUGUUGGUGCAUGAGUUAUGGAUAUUUUUUUAACGACCCUGUUUCUUUGAAGUUGGAAUUUGGAUUGCACAAGUGCAAUUCAAGUUUUUUGAGUUCACUUUUGGACCCUGUUUGAUCAUUUAAAAUAUUUAUAUUGUAGACUCUGAUGCCAAGAUCAGUAUUAAAAAAAGACCACGUUGAUCGAAUAAAUUUAGAAUCCGUUCAUUACUAUCCGGAUUCGAAACUUCUUAGGUGUUACUAAUUCUUAAUUUGGGUUCAAACCCACCAUUAAUGGACAGUGAGAUUAAUUUUCUAGAUUAGUGGGUCCUUGAAUCAAAUACCGAGUUAUCAAAAAUACUAUAUUUGUGGAAACUAUUAGUACAAUUAAUUUGUUAGGAAUGUAAGAGAUUAGGAGCUUUUAGUCCCUGCUCUUUUUGGCCUACUAUCCCUUUCCUUGCAAACAUAUGUAGUGUAUCCCAUCUUUAAAAUUUUAGAACUCAGUAAUUUUCUUGUAAGUUGUAACUCAUUAGUAUCCACAAGAAAUAUCAAAAAUAGUCACCUCUCCGCCGUAAAAACUCUUUGCCACGGAAGGACUAGGUUGGCAAUUGGUGGGGUUGCAAUAACUUUUUGCGUUGACAUCAGACCAUGGCAAACACUGUUGCUACACUUUUCAACUAAUAAUCCCAAGGCAAAAAAUAACAGUAUAAAUUGUUACUCUAAAACAUUAAUCCCUCAUGGCUUAUAAAUUUUCAACAUGGUCUAGUCAAAUCCAUAUUACUAUUAAAACGAAAGAUGUUUGUCGACUUUUCAAUUCCCAAAAUGCCCUUGGUUCAAUAAAAAAAGGAAUAUUGAAGUUGUGAUUUUGUUUUUGAGGAAAAAAAAAACUUACUCUCACUUAGACACGUAAAACCAAGCCUUUUAUUUUACUCCUCCAGAAUUCAUUCUAUUCAUUCCAGCCAUAACAGACAACGCUUCGGUAAUCCUAUCAACUCCAUUGUGUCUUCUUCAAUUGCCCAAUAGCUUCUUCUUCACUCUUAUCUUCGAAAGAAACUUUCCCUUGAUUGUUUAUGCUAUCUAACCUAAAAUCAUUCAGAGAGCAGGAGAGGUGGAAAUAAUAGCAGCUUUUCUAAAUGAACCCUAUUAUUUAGGAGAUGUCUUUCUACUUGGGAAGUGGAGCAAACAUAGUCUACUUCAAAUGAAAAUUGAGGAGUGGAUUCCGGUUACGGAUAAGAAUGAUUCUCUCAAAUUGAAAUGUUAAAGGAUGCAUAUAAAUCAUAAUAUUAAGUCUGCCUUGGUGUCAAAUUGUGAUAUUUAGUAAGUUAAAAAGAGGAUAUUCUUAUUCAAGGGAGGAAUAAUGAUGGGGAUGUCUUUUCAUCUCUAGAUCAGAAGAAUAUACAACACAUUUACAUCUAUAUUAUGAAUCUCCUCUCUAUCCCAACUUUAAAAUCUUCCAGAUAUAUUAAGAAAGCAUCCCUAAUAAACUUGGCAUUGGUCCAAAAUCGUGUAGCAUUAAACCUUAUCAUGUCCCUCUCUUUCAUCUUUAAAAUCUUCAAGAUAUUUCAAAAAAACAUCCCUAAUGAACUUGACAGCGGUCCCAAGUCGUGUAGCAUUAAAUCCUAUUGUGUCCCUCACUACAAUCUUUAAAAUCUUCAAGAUAUUUCAAGGAAACAUCCCUAAUAAACUUGACAAUGAUCCAAAGUUGUGUAGCAUUCUCUCCCAUAUUUAAAAUCGUCAAGAUAUUUUAUAGAAACAUCCCUAAUAAACUUGAUUGUGAUUCAAAGUAGCGUGUUAUGUCCCUCUCUUUUAAAGUAUAAUUUAUUUAUUUAUUUUAUUAAUUAAUUCCAGAUAUCAAGUCAACACAUGGUAGGCUUUUAAAAUUACAUUUUGUGGCUGAAGAUGGUACCUUGUCAUUCAAAAUAUUGACCCUUGCCGAUGGUGUGAAUUGACUGCAAGCGGAGGACAAUUACACACAUUGUCUUGGCCUUGGGAUAUUUCUCAUCUAAACUAAAAAUUUGGACUGUAAAUGGUGGCAGUUGACAAAAUGGGCCCAUCAAUGGAUGAGUACUAACAAAAGAAUUUAUUAAAAACCGAAAGAUCUCUUAAAAAAGCCAAAAUUUUGGAGACUUGUUAGACAUAUAAUUUGGGGCCAAUUUUGAACAAAAACAAAUGAGGAAUUCAUACGUCUUUUUAACCGGAUCCAAAUUCGAAUAUGCUUAUCUAUGUGAGAUGAUUAACAUCCGAUAUUUUUUUUAUUCAAAACGAAUAAAGAGUGAAUGAAAAAUUGACACCAAAAUUCACUAGUUGAAUAUUAGGUGAAGAAUGGUUAAAAAAAUUGUUCCGCAUUGGUCAUUUAUGAGACCUUUAGUGGGUUUACAGGCUUCUCCUUGAACUUGGGCUUGGACUAAGGGGCAACCAGGUUCUGUGGAGGAGGGAGGACCUAGCACCUUAUGUGUUGACCUUUUCAAAAGUUUUUAUUUUUCAGCACCUUAUUAUUUUUUAUAUAUGAUUUUAAAGCGGUUCAAAAGUUUCUUAUAGUUGUGGUAAUUGGGUCCUUUCAUUACGUAGUUCGGCCAUAUGCUUACGUAUAUGGGCAGUCAAAUGAGCAAAAACUU
rnacentral:lncRNA from 1 species